AGUUAAGUGAGAAAGCGUACAGGGCGGAUGCCUUGGCAAUCAGAGGCGAAGAAGGACGUGCUAAUCUGCGAAAAGCGUGGGUGAGUUGAUAAGAAGCGUUUAACCCACGAUGUCCGAAUGGGGAAACCCGAUAGGCGAAGAGCCUAUCAUUGCGAGGUGAAUAAAAUAGCCUCGUAAGGCGAACCGGGAGAACUGAAACAUCUAAGUACCCCGAGGAAAAGAAAUCAACCGAGAUUCUGUGAGUAGCGGCGAGCGAAAGCGGAGGAGCCAGUAAGUAAUAGCAGCAGAGAUAGAGGAAUUGUCUGGGAAGGCAAGCGACACAGGGUGAUAGCCCCGUACUUAAAAUCCAGGCUGUGGUACUAAGCUUACGAGAAGUAGGGCGGGACACGAGGAAUCCUGUCUGAAGAUGGGGGGACCAUCCUCCAAGGCUAAAUACUCCUGAUUGACCGAUAGUGAACCAGUACUGUGAAGGAAAGGCGAAAAGAACCCCGGUGAGGGGAGUGAAAUAGAACCUGAAACCCUGUACGUACAAGCAGUGGGAGCCCGCAAGGGUGACUGCGUACCUUUUGUAUAAUGGGUCAGCGACUUAUAUUUUGUAGCGAGGUUAACUGAAUAAGGGAGCCGAAGGGAAACCGAGUCUUAACUGGGCGUUGAGUUGCAAGGUAUAGACCCGAAACCCGGUGAUCUAGCCAUGGGCAGGUUGAAGGUUGGGUAACACUAACUGGAGGACCGAACCGACUAAUGUUGAAAAAUUAGCGGAUGACUUGUGGCUGGGGGUGAAAGGCCAAUCAAACCGGGAGAUAGCUGGUUCUCCCCGAAAUCUAUUUAGGUAGAGCCUUGUGUGAAUACCUUUGGGGGUAGAGCACUGUUUCGGCUAGGGGCCCAUCCUGGGUUACCAAACCGAUGCAAACUCCGAAUACCAAAGAGUAAUGCACAGGAGACACACGGCGGGUGCUAACGUCCGUCGUGGAGAGGGAAACAACCCAGACCGCCAGCUAAGGUCCCAAAAUCUAUAUUAAGUGGGAAACGAAGUGGGAAGGCUUAGACAGCUAGGAUGUUGGCUUAGAAGCAGCCACCAUUUAAAGAAAGCGUAAUAGCUCACUAGUCGAGUCGGCCUGCACGGAAGAUGUAACGGGGCUAAAAUAUAGUACCGAAGCUGCGGCAUCAGGCGUAUCACUAAUACGCCUUAACGAUUAACCACUUGCGAAGCAAGUGGGUAAAGCGAAAAACACGUUGAGUGUAAUGGCAAAGAAUCGAAGAGGGAUAUUAGUGAUACGUCUGUUGGGUAGGGGAGCGUUGUGUAAGCGGAAGAAGGUGGUUCGAGAGGAUUGCUGGACGUAUCACAAGUGCGAAUGCUGACAUAAGUAACGAUAAAACGGGUGAAAAACCCGUUCGCCGGAAGACCAAGGGUUCCUGUCCAACGUUAAUCGGGGCAGGGUGAGUCGGCCCUAAGGCGAGGCUGAAAAGCGUAGUCGAUGGGAAACGGGUUAAUAUUCCCGUACUUGGUAAAGUUGCGAUGUGGGGACGGAGAAGGUUAGGUUAUCGACCUGUUGGAAAUGGUCGUUUAAGUUGGUAGGUGGGUGAGUUAGGCAAAUCCGGCUCACCGUUAACACUGAGAGAUGAUGACGAGGCACUAAGGUGCUGAAGUAACUGAUACCACACUUCCAGGAAAAGCCACUAAGCUUCAGGCUUUACUAAACCGUACUGAAAACCGACACAGGUGGUCAGGUAGAGAAUACUCAGGUGCUUGAGAGAACUCGGGUGAAGGAACUAGGCAAAAUAGCACCGUAACUUCGGGAGAAGGUGCGCCGGCGUAGAUUGUAGUGACUUGCUCACGAAGGUUGAACCGGUCGAAGAUACCAGCUGGCUGCAACUGUUUAUUAAAAACACAGCACUCUGCAAACACGAAAGUGGACGUAUAGGGUGUGAUGCCUGCCCGGUGCUGGAAGGUUAAUUGAUGGUGUAAUCGAAAGAGAAGCUCCAGAUCGAAGCCCCAGUAAACGGCGGCCGUAACUAUAACGGUCCUAAGGUAGCGAAAUUCCUUGUCGGGUAAGUUCCGACCUGCACGAAUGGCAUAAUGAUGGCCAGGCUGUCUCCACCCGAGACUCAGUGAAAUUGAAAUCGCCGUGAAGAUGCGGUGUACCCGCGGCUAGACGGAAAGACCCCGUGAACCUUUACUAUAGCUUGACACUGAACCUUGAAUUUUGAUGUGUAGGAUAGGUGGGAGACUGUGAAGCGGUAACGCCAGUUGA
rfam:Avibacterium paragallinarum JF4211, WGS project CBMK01000000 data, contig: 21